AUUGAACGCUGGCGGCAGGCUUAACACAUGCAAGUCGAGCGGGGUGAUGGUGCUUGCACUAUCACUCAGCGGCGGACGGGUGAGUAAUGCUUAGGAAUCUGCCUAUUAGUGGGGGACAACAUCUCGAAAGGGAUGCUAAUACCGCAUACGUCCUACGGGAGAAAGCAGGGGAUCACUUGUGACCUUGCGCUAAUAGAUGAGCCUAAGUCGGAGUAGCUAGUUGGUGGGGUAAAGGCCUACCAAGGCGACGAUCUGUAGCGGGUCUGAGAGGAUGAUCCGCCACACUGGGACUGAGACACGGCCCAGACUCCUACGGGAGGCAGCAGUGGGGAAUAUUGGACAAUGGGGGGAACCCUGAUCCAGCCAUGCCGCGUGUGUGAAGAAGGCCUUAUGGUUGUAAAGCACUUUAAGCGAGGAGGAGGCUCUUUUGGUUAAUACCCAAGAUGAGUGGACGUUACUCGCAGAAUAAGCACCGGCUAACUCUGUGCCAGCCGCCGCAGUAA
rnacentral:rRNA from 1 species